rnacentral:rRNA from 1 species
UACGGAGGGUGCGAGCGUUGUCCGGAAUCACUGGGCGUAAAGGGCGCGUAGGCGGCCUGAUAAGUAGGGGGUGAAAUCCUGCGGCUUAACCGCAGGGCUGCCUUCUAAACUGUCAGGCUAGAGCACAGUAGAGGCAGGUGGAAUUCCCGGUGUAGCGGUGGAAUGCGUAGAGAUCGGGAAGAACAUCAGUGGCGAAAGCGACUUCCUGGACCAGUACCGACGUUCAGGCACGAAAGCGUGGGGAGCAAACAGG